GCCGACUCAUGCACGUGUGCAGCGAAUGCCGUGAAUUCAUUUAAAUGCUUCUCAAAGAAAAGCAUUACAUUCAAUACUUUCCUAUGAGCUGCAACCUCAUGUGAUCGAGUAUUACUUACUAGAUGUGUGUUGAUCCCAGCAAUGAAACAAUGUAAACAAAACAUUGCAGGGUUAAAAUGACAGGACCACUGCACCCAAACCACAUCUGGUCUGGGUGAAUUAAGUGGUUCUUUAAUGUCAACGUUUUGUACUGAGUACGAAUAUAUGCAUCUAUUCAUG